CUUUGGGCCUUGUACCUCCGAACCAAAAUACGAAGGGUAAAUUGGGAAGUUUUGGAAAAAUAUCUGAGAGGGAUAAACCGGUAAGAGAUGAGUGUUUGAGAAACAACAGAAGAGAAAUGAGAAAAGCGAGAAGAGAGAAGGAUGUCGUCGUUGUCAAGCAUGUUUGGGUGUGGAGUGGUGAUGGCGCCACCACAAGCACUGGGAAUUGGAAAGAGAAGUGACGGAGUAUUGACGAUAGUGUGUUCGUCUCGACCGCAGAAGAAAGCGACUGCGCAUCACAUGAAGACUCGGCCACGGAAGACGCAGCCAUGAGAUAUAAACCGCAAGCCAACUGUGUACGAUGUUAUGCCUCCUCUUCCUCCGGAUUGGACUCUCGUUAUUCCUGCUGACGCUUCUUCUGCUCCUCCGCCUCCCUCUGCCUAGCCACUCACUCGAGGGAGACGAGCGAUUGGAAGAGGCGCUGAAUGAAGAGAACCUGGUUGAUGUCGAAGUGAAGACCGAGCAGUGAGGCGCUCGGCCAGUUAUGUAGCCUGUAUUAGAGUGGUCGUUCGACCAUCUUGUCUUGUUAUUUUAUUCUGAUAGACCGUUCGGUAUUUGUGCCGUGUAAACCGUUCGGUCAAGUUUCAUGUACGUUCGGCUUUUUCAUUUAUAACUCUGAAGACGUGCGGCUUUGCGCGUCUGUUUUGUUAUUAUUGUAAGACUGUACUCAAGGACGUUCGUCCUUGAGCGUUGUUUUGUUUUUAGUUGGAAAACUGUAUUGAAAUAUUAUUAAAUGUGAUUUUCUGAUUUUAUGGUU